AAGCAGAGGGGGCUUAGUGGUGGGGUGACUGCGUACCUUUUGUAUAAUGGGUCAGCGACUUAUAUUCUGUAGCAAGGUUAACCGUAUAGGGGAGCCGUAGGGAAACCGAGUCUUAACCGGGCGUUAAGUUGCAGGGUAUAGACCCGAAACCCGGUGAUCUAGCCAUGGGCAGGUUGAAGGUUGGGUAACACUAACUGGAGGACCGAACCGACUAAUGUUGAAAAAUUAGCGGAUGACCUGUGGCUGGGGGUGAAAGGCCAAUCAAACCGGGAGAUAGCUGGUUCUCCCCGAAAGCUAUUUAGGUAGCGCCUCGUGAAUUCAUCUCCGGGGGUAGAGCACUGUUUCGGCUAGGGGGCCAUCCCGGCUUACCAACCCGAUGCAAACUGCGAAUACCGGAGAAUGUUAUCACGGGAGACACACGGCGGGUGCUAACGUCCGUCGUGAAGAGGGAAACAACCCAGACCGCCAGCUAAGGUCCCAAAGUCAUGGUUAAGU
rnacentral:rRNA from 1 species